UGAAACUGAGUUUCAGGAUGCAAGAUACUGUUCAGAUAGUUCUGCAAUACAUUCUUCAGACCCAGCAACUUUGGCAGGCCCGUGGAUGAUGGAAUAACCAGAUCUCUGCGGCCACCCCUGAAAAACAGAUUCUUUCUUCUGGAUUCCCUGGGAUUCUCUCAGCAGCCAGCCUUGUUUACAGAAGUCAGCGCGGACAGUAACAGCCCUUCACCAAUGAGCCACAGUGGAACCUUUGGGGAAGGCUCCUCACGGUGCUCUGUCAUCUGCUGACAAAGUGGUGCCAGGACCAGAACUUCACAAUGAACUCUGCAGAGAAAAAUCCACAGCAGAUGAAGGAAUCUCGAAGUCAGUGACAGGUAGACUCAGGCUUAAAGUGAGAGGAUCCCCCACGUCACUGGUUUCAACUAGAGGAUACGUCUGUGCUAUGAGAAUACUCAGUAUGAGAAACGUGCUGCGAAACAGAGGCAGCCAGUUGGAGCAGUGCUUCAGACUAAGCUGAGGUCAGUUUUAGAAUCACAGAAUACUUCAGGCUGGACAGGAACUCUUGAUGUCACCUCAAUCCACGCCCUGCUCAAAGAAGGUCUCACUACGUCAGAUCGCUCAAGGCUGCAGCCAGUCAAGUUGAACCCUCAAAUGGGGAGCCUCUGCUGAAUGCUGGUUACUGCAAGGAAAGCAAUUGUGAGGACUUUUGUGACAAAGAGGUGCUUUAAAGAAGUAAACUUUGGAAACACAGCUGAUUUUUAAUACUUCAGCCCCAGUCACUGGCAAUAGAAGGGAUUUGAUUGGGAUGAGUGCUAAGAGUCCUUCUGCUGUGCUCGGUCAGCUACCCCACCAGAAAUGAACGUGGGACAUGUUAUUUAAACUGAGAAGUUGAUAGUCUUGAAUACAUCUGUUUGUAUAAACUAGCUGGCUAUCCCCUUGCCAUCUCUAACGUAAAUCUACUAAGGUAUUGUGAAACUUCAUUUAUUUUAAGCUUGCAGUAUUUACCUGUGCAAAUCAUACAAGAAGCGUCCUUUCUAACUUC
rnacentral:lncRNA from 1 species